rnacentral:rRNA from 2 species
GGAGGUAGUGACAAUAAAUCACAAUGCGGAACUUCUGUUUUGCAAUUGGAUUGAGAACAACGCACAACACUUAUCGAUAAACAAUUGGAGGGCAAGUCUGGUGCCAGCAGCCGCGGUAAUUCCAGCUCCAAUAGCGUAUAUUAACGUUGUUGCAGUUAAAAAGCUCGUAGUUGAAGUGAAGUGUGAACCUUCUGGAUUUUCGUUCGAAUUUCUUGCUGGUUCGCACUCUUUCCAAAUAGUUUGCAUGGGUAUUCACUUAUCUGUGUAUUGCAUUUGGUCAUUUACUGUGAGAAAAUUAGAGUGUUCAAAGCAUACGUUUGUUUGAAUACAUUAGCAUGGAAUAAUUCGAAAAGGCUUUCAUGUUCGAUUUGAUUGGUUUGUUCGUGAAGGCAAGAUUAAAAGGGACAGUUGGGGGUAUUCAUAUUCAAUAGUCAGAGGUGAAAUUCUCGGAUUUAUGGAAGAUGAACAAGUGCGAAAGCA